rfam:Sus scrofa chromosome 2.
UAAUGAAAUGAUGAGAAAUACCAUGAAGAUCUAAUGCCCACCUCAAAAUACUGCUUUUACAAAAGCAGAAUAAAAAAUGAAAUGAAAUGAAAAUGA